GCGCACACCUUGAUUCCGCCGCCAUUCUGGUCGGCUGCAGCGUGGGAAAAAGCAGGAAACGCGUGCGCAGCGAGGCUUCAGAGAUUCCUGUGUUGUCCCUCCACCCCUUGGAAGAUGACAAAACCAGACAUCAUGUUCUCUUGCCUUCAGUUCGUCAGGCUAUUGAUGGGUACCUGCUCCUACCGUGGUUAUACAUGCCUAUAGUCCCUGCUACUAUAACUAAGGUUGAAAAGAAAAAGGAAGAGUUUCUUGCUACUGUCACAAAACCAGCCGGUGAUGACAAGAAUGGUGAUACUUGGAUGGUUGAGCUUUGCAAAAUGCCUAGAUACUGUUGAAGAUGUACCACAAAAACUUUUGAGAUGGGGAAAAACAAAACAAAACCCACAAAAAAACCCUUCAGUCAGCACGUGAGAUCAUGGAUCAAACUCGGGACCUUCCACUUGUGAGGCAGGCGGCG